rnacentral:rRNA from 1 species
ACGGGGGGGGCAAGCGUUGUUCGGAAUUACUGGGCGUAAAGGGCUCGUAGGCGGCCAACUAAGUCAUACGUGAAAUCCCUCGGCUUAACCGGGGAACUGCGUCUGAUACUGGAUGGCUUGAGUUCGGGAGAGGGAUGCGGAAUUCCAGGUGUAGCGGUGAAAUGCGUAGAUAUCUGGAGGAACACCGGUGGCGAAGGCGGCGAUCUGGGAAGAUACUGACGCUGAGGUGCGAAAGCGUGGGGAGCAAACAGGA